AAGGUUCAAGAACUUCCUGAAAUGUCUAGUCCUCCCUGCCUCUCUGGUGCUUGACCAAGGGCUCCUGAGCUGUUGUGUGCUAGUGGACUGCAAAUGUGGUUCAUGGGAGGCUGAGGAACUAUGGGCUGAAACCCAUGGUUUGUAUGGCCCUGUUUCUCUGUUCCCAGGCUUGCAGCCCCAUCCCUAGCAUCACAUGGGAAAAAUCUCCUCCAGAUAGGCUGAGGACAGUCUGUCCAGGAGGCCCUGCAUAGGCUAGAGUCUCCAAAUGCCCAAGGACAGCCCAAGGGAUACUUUUACUACUUAUCCAACACUCCCCCAGCUUUUCUGAUGCUGGUAUCUCAAGGUCCGUGCAUUCCAUUCCUGAUACGGAAACCUUCAGCAUGCCAGCCAGCCCCAGGGACAGAGUGACCCAUCUGCCUACUUGGAGUCAGAGACCCAAAUGGAGAUCUGUCUCAGCUGAAGGACACAAGCUGAAAGUCUGCAUUGCAGGCAGCGGAGCUUCAAUCAGUUCGGAGACUUGACCUGGAUGAGCGUACAUUUCCUUGUGUGAUGAACUCUGCAUUGCCAGUCUUGUCUGGUCAGAGAUGCAGUUCCUGAUGUUGUCACUUGUUGUUGUCUCCCAAAGUUAAAAGAAAAUCCUCGAGUUCAGUACACCAAA